GAUGAAGAACGCAGCGAAAUGCGAUAAGUAAUGUGAAUUGCAGAAUUCAGUGAAUCAUCGAAUAUUUGAACGCACAUUGCGGCCGCCAGUAUUCUGGCGGGCAUGCCUGUCCGAGCGUCAUUUCAACCAUCAAGCCCCGGGCUUGUGUUGGGGACCUGCGUCCGACGCAGGCCCUGAAAACCAGUGGCGGGCUCGCUGUCCACACCGAGCGUAGUAACUAACCUCGCUAUGGAGUGGCGCGGGCGCCUGCCGUAAAACCCCCAAUUUCACAAGGUUGACCUCGGAUCAGGUAGGAAUACCCGCUGAACUUAAGCAUAUCAAUAAGCGGAGGA
rnacentral:misc_RNA from 1 species